AAAAGAAACGUUCCAUCAUCAGCCAUUUCAUAUCGCCGCCAAAUCCCUUAUUUUCUGAAAUUUCUGUGAAUAUUUUAUUCUUCUCACACGCUAUGAUGGCAAGAACAAAGAAAAAAGCAGAGUUUAUAUGUCAAACUUUUCAUCCUCUCUUGAUUCCGGAAGAAGGGCUCAAGCUUUUUAUCCUCUUCAACUUCAACUUCAAACAAGCCAGAGAAGUUAUUUCCAUCUGCAAUCUACAAACACGCAUCGGCAUAGAGCACACUGAGCAGCAUGGAGGGGGAUUUGAACAACACUGAUCCGGUAGAGUGGUAUGAAAAUGAAAAUUCUCUAGAAAAUGAAAUUAGCAAUGCUGGUAGUGUUAGUUCCACAAAAAAUAUUGAGGAUCAAGAUAUCGAUUCUAUUGAUGUUCAAACUGAAGGAGAUUCUUUAAAGCAUGCUUAUCAAAGAAAGCCAAGGAGGAAGACUUCUAUAGUUUGGAAAAAUUUUACUGAGGUGGAAAUAAAAGGUGUGAAAAAACAUCAAUGCAAUUGGUGUAAGAGGGCAUUCACUAUAUCAAAAUCAAGUUGUACUAGUACGAUGUGUAGACAUUUGAAAACUUGUUUAUCGUACAUUGGUGCCAAUAAGAAAAAAAAGCAAAAGGUUUUGUCUCUUGAAGCUACGGAGGUUGAUGGUGUAGGGAGCGUAACAAAUUUUAUUUAUGAUGAAAAGAAGGCAAGAGAAGUUUGUUCUCAUAUGAUUUUAUAUCAUGAAUACCCUUUUAAUAUUGUGGAACAUCGAUUUUUUAACAAGUUUGCCAAGACUUUGUCUCCACAUUGGGUAAAAAUAUCUCGGGCUACAGCAAAGAAGGAUUGCUUUGCCACUUAUGAGAUUGAGAAAAGAAAAUUGAAAAGUAUGUUAACACGUGUGCACAAAGUUAACAUAACGACUGAUAUGUGGACGUCGAGUCAGCAAAUUUCUUAUAUGGUUGUCACAUGUCACUUCAUUGAUUCUGAUUGGCAUCUAAAUAGGCGUGUGUUGAACUUUUGUAAUGUGCCACCACCACACACCGGUUUUCUUAUUGCUGAUGCACUACAAAAAUGUUUUCAAGAAUGGGGGAUUGAGAAUAAGAUUUGUUCAAUUACUGUUGAUAAUGCAAGAUCAAAUGACGUAGCAGUUAGAGUAUUGAAAGAUGUUUUUAACAUGAGAAAAGCCCUUCUUGCUGGUGGAAAAUUAUUUCAUGUUCGAUGUGUUGCACAUAUAACCAAUUUAUUGGUUCAAGAUGGUCUAGGUGAGAUUUCUUCGAUUGUUGAUUGUGUUAGGAAUGGAAUAAAAUACUUGGUGGCAUCAGAGGGAAGGUUGGUAAAAUUCAGUGAAAUUGCCAAGCAAUUGCAAUUGACCUCUAAGAAAUUAUUUUUGGAUGUAGCUACACGGUGGAAUAGUACAUAUAUGAUGUUGGCAGCAGCACUUGAGUUCAAGGGGGUCUUUCCAAUGUAUUCAUACAUUGAUUCUGGUUUCAUUUGGUUGCCAUCAGAUGAGGAUUAGGAUAAAGUUGAAAAUGUAUGUCAGUUAUUAGGGGUCUUCAACCAAGUAACUAAUAUUGUCUCAGGGAGUGACUACCCUACUGCUAAUUUAUUCCUCCCUGAAGUCUGGAGGAUGAAAGAGGUCUUGGCUACAAAGUGCAAAGAUGAGAAUGAGUAUAUUAAAGCAAUGGCAUAUAAAAUGAGUACCAAGUUUCAGAAAUAUUGGGGAGAGUGCAACUUAUUGAUGUCUAUUGCUGCUGUGUUGGACCCAAGGAAUAAGAUGACGAUGAUACGAUUUUGUUUCCCUAUAAUCUAUCAAGAGUUGGAAGCUACUGCGAAUGUUGAUCGUAUCCUUUCAGUUCUGAAUGAGUUAUAUGUUGAGUAUGUCCAAGAAUAUAAUUCAAGUGUUGCUGAGCAGAAUUUACAAAUCAAUGCUAUUGAAUCCUUUUCAAGCAGUUCAAUUAACGUGGUUGGGAAGAAGAAUGUUCUAACAAGUGGUAGGGACCUUUAUGACUCAUUCGUCAGAAAUGUUGAUACAUUGCAGCAGCCGAUAAAAUCUGAUUUACAAUCCUAUUUGGAGGAGAAUGUUCUCAUUGUUGAAAAGGGUGUGGAAUUUAAUGCUUUGGAUUGGUGGAAGGCAAAUACCCUUAAGUAUCGGAUUUUGUCUAUAAUGGCAAGGGAUAUAUUGUCAAUACCAAUCACCACUGUGACUUCAGAGUCUACAUUUAGUGCCGGUGGGAGGGUCAUUGAUCCUCACAGAUCUAAGUUAUCUACAGAAACUGUACAAAUGUUAUUGUGUGGGGCUGAUUGGGUCAGAGCAUUACAUGGGAUUAAAAGGAAGCACAAUGUGGAGGAGGAUGAGGAGGAGGAGAAAGUGGAGAUUGUCUUACCAGCAAUUCUGUAGCAGUUUGCUUUCUUUGUUUUUUGCUAUAUAAGUGACUAAGUGUUGUAAUAUAAUUGCAUAUUUUAGUUGUGACACUUGUGGGAUUCUACUUUUUUUGAAGUCAUGAAGAGUUGAAGACAUGAAGACUUUAGA